GAUGAACGCUGGCGGCGUGCCUAAUACAUGCAAGUCGAGCGAACGGACGAGAAGCUUGCUUCUCUGAUGUUAGCGGCGGACGGGUGAGUAACACGUGGAUAACCUACCUAUAAGACUGGGAUAACUUCGGGAAACCGUAGCUAAUACCGGAUAAUACUUUGAACCGCAUGGUUCAAAAGUGAAAGACGGUCUUGCUGUCACUUAUAGAUGGAUCCGCGCUGCAUUAGCUAGUUGGUAAGGUAACGGCUUCCAAGGCAACGAUGCAUAGCCGACCUGAGAGGGUGAUCGGCCACACUGGAACUGAGACACGGUCCAGACUCCUACGGGAGGCAGCAGUAGGGAAUCUUCCGCAAUGGGCGAAAGCCUGACGGAGCAACGCCGCGUGAGUGAUGAAGGUCUUCGGAUCGUAAAACUCUGUUAUUAGGGAAGAACAUAUGUGUAAGUAACUGUGCACAUCUUGACGGUACCUAAUCAGAAAGCCACGGCUAACUACGUG
rnacentral:rRNA from 1 species